rnacentral:rRNA from 1 species
GGGUCAGUAGGUUGGUCGUGCCACCGGUACGUACUGGUCUCACUGAUUCCUCCUUCCUGAAGAACCGUAAUGCCAUUAAUUUGGUGUUGCGGGGAAACAGGACUGUUACUUCGAAAAAAUUAGAGUGUUUAAAGCAAGCUAACGCUUGAAUACAUUAUCAUGGAAUAAUGAAAUAGGACGAUCGAUCCUAUUUUGUUGGUUUCUAGGAUUGACGUA